rnacentral:lncRNA from 1 species
CGACUCAGAAGGUGUUUUAGUCCCACCUUGUCAAGGGUGGACAAAAUCCCAUCUCUUUUCCCCUAUAAAUACAGCCCUUAAGGCAUCUUUUAGAUUUGGGAUUUGUUUCGUGAAAAGAUAACCAUUGCAACUUCGUGUACUUGGUUUGUGUCCAACGACCAGACCAAGACCGCUCUCAGAUCCCCACUUUUAUCAAUAUUUAAUAUAUACUAGAUGACGAGUUGCGCCAAAUGGCGCAAAGACCCGUUUAAAACCAUGUUCGUGUUGAGAAUAUUUGCAUUUUUUCAGUAAGUGUAUAUUUGAGUAGUUAUGUGGACCUCUCCCAGGUUGAACUUCCUUACUAAAAUCAUUCUUCACCUUAGCCUUUGUACCUUCCUGGAAAACAGAAUAAGAACACGAUUACUCAAAAUUAAAACCCUAUAAGGGAUUAUUGCAAUACGAAGCUAGCACUGAUACACAAAAAGACUGGAUUGCUCUAACUAAAGUAAGGGAUGACCGAACUCAUCCAAUGUCUCUACCGGAUUGGUAAACAGAAUACGUAAAUGAUUACUUAAGUAGUUCACUACUUGCUCCAGUGCCCACUUCCUAGAAGAUCUCAGCUUCGCACCUAAAGCAGGCCAAUAACCGUAGCUAUUUUUUAAUGAAUUUUGGUAUGAUUGAAGAAAACUCUCAAUGUAUUUUAAGAACCCUUCUAGCCUCCUACUCUAACAAAACACACAUUGUAAUUAAUCCAGCAACGACUUCAUCAGAGCAACAUAGACAUAUAUAUAUAUAGGACAAAUGUUUCCUACAAGCAGUGGUAGUUACCACCGCUUGUGUUUUAUAUGUUGUAUGUAGUAUCUGUCGAAACCAAGACUAUGUACGUGUAGUAUGUAGUAUAUAACAAUGAUUAGGUAAUAUAUAUACUAAUUUUUAGGUAGUAUGUACCAUGUUUUGAGUAUGCUCUUUUUACGUACAAAUAUGUAUGUAUUUAUGCAAUUUUUUCAUGUAACUACUUUCAAAUAUCUUAGAUAUAGUAUAUGAACAUAUUUAAAAUAAUAAAAUAAUAUAUAUAAUACCACAUGGUAGUAUAUGAGAUAUGUGGGGUAACUACCACCGGGUGGUAGGAUGAAUUUUCCCUAUAUAUAUAUAUAUAUAUAUAUAUAUAUAUAUAUAUAUUCUACAUGCACUAGGAUAUCAGGAUGUGGUGACCUUGGUCUCCAUGAUCCUUGACAUCACAACCAUGGAAAGAAACAAUUAGCUACUUGACGAAAUGACGGCAUCGGGCCAAUGUCGAGAAAAGGAGGAGGCACCACAAGACAUGCCUUCUUAAAUUUUAUCAAGGUUAUCGAUACAAAAUAACAUAGCUCAUUAACAUAAUCUAAAUAGGCAACCAGGAGCAAGUGGGACGGAAAUAACUAUGUGGCACAUGACAGCUAGAGCAGCAAAGAAGAAACAUGAUUUAUUGGCUUACCUAUUUUGAAUACCCACAAAAAAUUGAAUCUUUCAUCUCAAACUGUAAGAACACAACUUUUGUAACCCCGUGAGACACCAUUGUAAUCAAAUACCACAUGCGUCCUACCAUAAUGCCAUUCCUUAAAAUAUGCCAUCACCUGCUGUAAAAAUAGGGGAAAUUAUAUUAAGACUUGAACAUGACAAGAUAUUCAACAAAAAUAAGAAAUCAAGAGAAGAUGUAUUUCACCCCAGGCUUGAACCAUUGAUCUUUCGGCAGUGAUGCAAAGCCAUAACCAAAUGGAGGGGAUAGGAGGGAAAAACGCACUGGCAAGAUGAUCCUCGCUGAGAAAUCAGGAGCCCAAGGAGAGAGGCCCAAAAGGUCAAGCCAUCAACAUCAAGCAACACUGCUUUUUUCGAGCUGAUAUAACCACUGUUGCCGACUGUGUGACCUUUUUAACGCUCAUAAUUAGUCUCUCAAAUUACCUAAUCCUACAAUUAUUCUCCAAACCUGAGAGCUUGCAACACACAUGUAUGUGAAGCCUGAAGCGGCCAACCGAGCAAGAAACACUCGGGGAGGACCACCCAGGGAACAUAGUUAAUACUAAAGAUAAUACUGUCUAUCCAAACUAAACAAAGAAACCAUAGCACUGCAACAGAGAAUAAUUAGGGACAAUUUCACUAUGUAUAAUGCAUUGAUAAAUAUAAAAAAAUAUGCCUGAAAAGAACCAGAUUCAGACGCCUUC